rnacentral:rRNA from 1 species
AGCAGCCGCGGUAAUUCCAGCUCCAAUAGCGUAUAUUAAAGUUGCUGCAGUUAAAAGCUCGUAGUUGAAUUUCGAGACCGGUUUACUGGUCGUGCUUUUGUACGUACUGGUAUUAUUGGUUUCUCCUUUCUGACGAAUCUUAAUGCCAUUAAUUUGGUGUUUUGGGGAAUCAGGACUGUUACUUUGAAAAAUUAGAGUGUUUAAAGCAGGCUCACGCUUGAAUACAUUAGCAUGGAAUAACGGAAUAGGACGUUUGAUUCUAUUUUGUUGGUUUCUAGGAUCGACGUAAUGAUUAAUAGGGAUAGUUGGGGGCAUUAGUAUUCAAUUGUCAGAGGUGAAAUUCUUGGAUUUAUUGAAGACUAACUACUGCGAAAGCAUUUGCCAAGGAUGUUUUCAUUAAUCAAGAACGAAAGUUAGGGAUCGAAGACGAUCAGAUACCGUCGUAGUCUU